GCAGCACCGCACCCACUCCAGCGACCGCGGGCCACGUGUGGAUGUCAAAGCAACAGGCGCCGCCCCCUCCUCCACAGCAGCCCCCACAGGCUCCGCAAGCCCCACAGGCGCCUCCGCAGCAGCAAGCACCCCCGCAGCCGCAGCAGGCACCCCAGCAGCAGCAGGCGCACACGCUCACCACGCUGAGCAGCGAGCCAGGCCAGUCCCAGAGAACGCACAUCAAGACGGAGCAACUGAGCCCGAGCCACUACAGCGAGCAGCAGCAGCACUCCCCGCAACAGAUCUCCUACAGCCCCUUCAACCUUCCGCACUACAACCCCUCCUACCCAACCAUCACGCGCUCGCAGUAUGACUACACCGACCACCAGAACUCCGGCUCCUACUACAGCCACGCAGCCGGCCAGGGCUCGGGGCUCUACUCCACCUUCACCUACAUGAACCCAGCGCAGCGCCCCAUGUACACCCCCAUCGCUGACACCUCCGGGGUCCCUUCCAUCCCGCAGACCCACAGCCCUCAGCACUGGGAACAACCCGUCUACACACAGCUCACCAGACCCUGAGGAGACCUUGAAGAGCAAUGGUGACAGAGUUGAUCUUUUUUUUUUUUUUUUUUUAAGAAGAAAAGGAAAAAGAAAACGCUGAAGAAAAUCAAGAACCAAUUGAAAUUCCUUUGGACACUUUUUUUUUUUGGUCUGUCGUUAUUUUUUAAAGAUGUAAGUGAAGGUAACGAUUGCUGAGAUUCCAGGAGAGAGACUUUAAGACAUUAUCUGAGCUCAUGCAAACACGUUGCAAAUGGCCCGGCCAUUCGUGGCCAGAUGGACCCACCAGCGUCAGUGAGGAAGGGCUUGGCUCCUUCAGAGUUAGUGAGGAGGAUGAUUGGAGAAUCUCCCUGCCUGUUUGGACUUUGUAAUUAUUUUUUAGCCGUAAUUAAAGGAAAAAAAAGUCCUCUGUGAGGAAUAUUCUCUAUUUUAAAUACUUUUAGUAUGUACUGUGUAUGACUCAUUACCAUUUUGAGGGGAUUUAUACAUAUUUUAGAUAAAAAAGUUAAAUGCUCUUAUUUUUCCAACAGCUUAACUUCUCCUAGUUCAAGAGUGUCCCCUAGCCUUCCUUGCAACCAGAGUAUUUUUGUACAGAUUUGCUUUCUCCUAAACAGACAAAAAAACAAAAACAAAAACAAAACAAACAAAAAAAUGGAAAAAAAAAGAAAAAGAAAAAAACGUGUUGUUAUAGUAACAUAAGCAAUAUACAGAAUUUUGUUACACCAUCAGUUUUGGGGGUGAGCUUUGAUUAAUUCCCCAGGCUCUCAGAUUUCAGGAGCAGCUGCCUUAAAAAAAGAAAGAGAGAAAGAG
rnacentral:lncRNA from 1 species